ACCGCUUCUCGGCCUUUUGGCUAAGAUCAAGUAUAAU
rnacentral:snRNA from 1 species